rnacentral:lncRNA from 10 species
CAAUAAUUUUUUGCAAUAAGUAUAGUCAGCCCUCCAUACCAGCCAGUUCCAAAUUCACAACCAAACACAGAUUGAAAAUUCAGUAUUGGAGGGAUGCAAAUCCCACGUGUAAAGAGGGCCGACUUUGCAUAUCCACGAUUUCUGCAGUACCGAUGGCGGGACUGGAGUAUGAGCAGAUUUUGGUAUCCACAAGUGGUUCUGGAACAAAUUCCCCACAGAUACUGAGGAACGACUAAACGGCCUAGACCUGAUCCAAAGUCAGUUUUGUGCUUUGUUCCUAUGACGUUGGCCCAUAAUAUUUUCUUUUCUUUUCUUUUCUUUUCUUUUUUUUGAGACAGUUUCACUCUCGUUACCAAGGCUGAAGUGCAAUGGCACCAACUCAGCUCACCGCAACCUCCGCCUCCUGGGUUCAAGCGAUUCUCCUGCCUCAGCCUCCCGAGUGCUGGGUUCACAGGUAUGAGUCACCACGCCCAGCCCAGUUUCUGUUUUGACUAGAUGGUUUGGAUAUAAUCCUAGUAAAAUCUGAUGUACACCCAACUUGCCUUUUCUACAAGUCUGUGAACAUUUGAUUGGUUGAAAUGAUACCUAAAUGUCUUAGGUUGAGCCACAACAAGCUCCACUAACUUUCAAUAGUAAAGCUUAGAGCAUGUCUGUAGCCCUAAAAAAUGUGAGAAUAUUCAGAUCAACUUUCUGUGUUGAAUUUCAUCUCCUCAUUUCUAUUUGUUCAUCUACAAGUUUAUUUCUGUAAUUCUAUUU